rnacentral:rRNA from 1 species
AUUGAACGCUGGCGGCAUGCCUUACACAUGCAAGUCGAACGGCAGCACGGGUGCUUGCACCUGGUGGCGAGUGGCGAACGGGUGAGUAAUACAUCGGAACAUGUCCUGUAGUGGGGGAUAGCCCGGCGAAAGCCGGAUUAAUACCGCAUACGAACUACGGAUGAAAGCGGGGGACCUUCGGGCCUCGCGCUAUAGGGUUGGCAGAUGGCUGAUUAGCUAGUUGGUGGGGUAAAGGCCUACCAAGGCGACGAUCAGUAGCUGGUCUGAGAGGACGACCAGCCACACUGGGACUGAGACACGGCCCAGACUCCUACGGGAGGCAGCAGUGGGGAAUUUUGGACAAUGGGCGAAAGCCUGAUCCAGCAAUGCCGCGUGUGUGAAGAAGGCCUUCGGGUUGUAAAGCACUUUUGUCCGGAAAGAAAUCCUUGGCCCUAAUACGGUCGGGGGAUGACGGUACCGGAAGAAUAAGCACCGGCUAACUACGUG